rnacentral:rRNA from 1 species
UACGUAGGGUGCAAGCGUUGUCCGGAAUUAUUGGGCGUAAAGGGCUUGUAGGCGGUCCAUCGCGUCGGGAGUGAAAAGCUGGGGCUUAACCCCAGUCCUGCUUCCGAUACGGGCAGACUAGAGUGUGGUAGGGGAGACUGGAAUUCCUGGUGUAGCGGUGAAAUGCGCAGAUAUCAGGAGGAACACCGGUGGCGAAGGCGGGUCUCUGGGCCAUAACUGACGCUGAGGAGCGAAAGCGUGGGGAGCGAACAGG